AUUGAACGCUGGCGGCAGGCUUAACACAUGCAAGUCGAACGAGUGGCGGACGGGUGAGUAAUGUCUGGGAAACUGCCUGAUGGAGGGGGAUAACUACUGGAAACGGUAGCUAAUACCGCAUACCAUCGGAUGUGCCCAGAUGGGAUUAGCGAGUGGGUGGGGUAAGGGCUCACCUAGGCGACGAUCCCUAGCUGGUCUGAGAGGAUGACCAGCAACACUGGAACUGUGACACGGCCCAGACUCCUACGGGGGGUAGCAGUGGGGAAUAUUGCAAAAGGGGCGCAAGCCUGAUGAGGCCAUGCGGCGUGUGUGAAGCAGGCCUUCGGGUUGUAAAGUACUUUCAGCGGGGAGGCGUUACCCGCAGAAGAAGCACCGGCUAACUCCGUGCCAGCAGCCGCGGUAAUAC
rnacentral:rRNA from 1 species